UAUACAGUGAACACACUCAGAAGAAUUGGAGAAAAUGAGGAGGAGUUUCAACAUCUGAAAAAGCGGUUGGAAAUGGAAAAGAAUCCGGGCAGCAAUGGUGUCAGAGUUGUGCAGAAUUGAAGGAAGAAACCUCAAAGACAGUGCCAGACGGAUGCUGGACAGAACUUCUCUUCAGGUGGUCCCGAAGCAGCAUCAGAUGUCACAGUCUUCAUCAUGGAUAUUUAUUUGUGACUUCACCAAAUGAGGUCAUUCAGACUGGACACUCCCUCAAUGUCUUCUUUAAAUAGGCUCAUUCAUUAUCUCUUCU